rnacentral:rRNA from 1 species
CCUACGGGAGGCUGCAGUGGGGAAUAUUGGACAAUGGGCGAAAGCCUGAUCCAGCCAUGCCGCGUGUGUGAAGAAGGCCUUCGGGUUGUAAAGCACUUUCAGUGGGGAAGAAAGCCUUGGGGCUAAUACCCUCGAGGAAGGACAUCACCCACAGAAGAAGCACCGGCUAACUCCGUGCCAGCAGCCGCGGUAAUACGGAGGGUGCGAGCGUUAAUCGGAAUUACUGGGCGUAAAGCGCGCGUAGGCGGUCUGAUAAGCCGGUUGUGAAAGCCCCGGGCUCAACCUGGGAACGGCAUCCGGAACUGUCAGGCUAGAGUGUAGGAGAGGAAGGUAGAAUUCCCGGUGUAGCGGUGAAAUGCGUAGAGAUCGGGAGGAAUACCAGUGGCGAAGGCGGCCUUCUGGACUGACACUGACGCUGAGGUGCGAAAGCGUGGGUAGCAAACAGGAUUAGAUACCCGUGUAGUC